rnacentral:rRNA from 1 species
UGAGGAAUAUUGGGCAAUGCCCGCAAGGGUGACCCAGCAACGCCGCGUGGAGGAUGAAUGUCGUAAGAUUGUAAACUCCUGUUAGAGGGGAAGAAUAGUACCGGUUGGACCGGUAUAUGACUGUACCCUCAGAGAAAGCCCCGGCUAACUACGUGCCAGCAGCCGCGGUAAUACGUAGGGGGCAAGCGUUGUCCGGAUUUACUGGGUGUAAAGGGCGCGCAGGCGGGAUAAAAAGUCAGUGGUGAAAUCCUACGGCUUAACCGUAGAACUGCCUUUGAUACUUUUAUUCUUGAGUUCGGGAGAGAGAGACGGAAUUCCAGGUGUAGUGGUGAAAUACGUAGAUAUCUGGAAGAACACCAGUUGCGAAGGCGGUCUCUUGGUCCGACACUGACGCUGAGGCGCGAAAGCGUGGGGAGCAAACA